UAGGGAUAUGAUGAUGGAUAUGGGGGUGAAUAUGAUGAUCCAAGCUAUGAGACAUAUGAUAACAGUUAUGCCACCCAAACACAAAGUGUGCCUGAAUAUUAUGACUAUGGUCACGGAACAAGUGAAGAGGCUUAUGACAGCUACGCACAAGAAGAAUGGGCCACAACCCGUUCCAGCCUAAAGGCACCUCCUCCAAGGUCAGCCCGAGGGGCUUACAGGGAACACCCCUAUGGUAGAUAUUGAAGGUCCUCCUCAUCUGUGACCUCAUCUCAAAGACAAUUAAUAGCCUGUGGUCUCCGCAUAAACAGCAACAAGACAAGUAAUAGUCAAUUUCUUUUCUAUCCUAGGGAUUACUGAUCAUUAUUAUCCUAUGUACUACUUGUAUUUCCUAUAACAUUGGAGUGACAUUGGCAUUAGUAUUAUUUUAUAACACGGACUUAAAAAAAGAAAAAAAAAAAAAAGCAGAAAGAAAAAACCUUUGGCAAGCAUUGUCUAUAAACCAUUCAAAGAUAAUGUUCUGUUGGUUGUAUUCAUUGCUGUGUGUAACUUUAAAAGCAUGAACCUGUUACAGAUCUUGAGUCUCUCUACAUACUAGCUAAGGCUGAGUUUUUGUUUAGGGUUGCUGAAAGACUGUAAUAUGAUUCUUUUUUUUUUCCUUUUUUCAUUUGAGCCAUACAAUAAUCAAGUUGUAGAUAAGAUGUUUUAACCUGUCUUUUUAAUAUAUGUUAGUUUAGAUUAAGAUGUUCGAUAUUAAGUUUGUAAAUUUAAUUUUAAAUGCUGUUUUAAUGGGGUUGAAAACAAGCAGCUACUGUAUGUAUGUAGCUAACUGAAUUUGUUCAGUGUUUUAACCUGUAUUUGUUAAAAAAAAAUCACAUAAAGUUCCAUGUGUAAGCUUCUCUAAAUAGGAAACCAUAAUUUUGUCAAAUAUGUUUGCCAUAAUUUGUCAAUAAAGCUGAAACCUUUUGUAACAAACUAAAUUUGGAAUUACUUGUUUUCUAGCUUUAAAUGCCUGCUU